ACGAACGCUGGCGGCGCGCCUAACACAUGCAAGUCGAACGGAGCUUAGAGAGCUUGCUUUUUAAGCUUAGUGGCGAACGGGUGAGUAACGCGUGAGUAACCUGCCCUAGAGUGGGGGACAACAGUUGGAAACGACUGCUAAUACCGCAUAAGCCCACGGUGCCGCAUGGUACUGAGGGAAAAGGAUUUAUUCGCUUUAGGAUGGACUCGCGUCCAAUUAGCUAGUUGGUGAGGUAACGGCCCACCAAGGCGACGAUUGGUAGCCGGACUGAGAGGUUGAACGGCCACAUUGGGACUGAGACACGGCCCAGACUCCUACGGGAGGCAGCAGUGGGGGAUAUUGCACAAUGGGGGAAACCCUGAUGCAGCGACGCCGCGUGGAGGAAGAAGGUUUUCGGAUUGUAAACUCCUGUCGUUAGGGACGAUAAUGACGGUACCUAACAAGAAAGCACCGGCUAACUACGUGCCAGCAGCCGCGGUAAAACGUAGGGUGCAAGCGUUGUCCGGAAUUACUGGGUGUAAAGGGAGCGCAGGCGGGAAGACAAGUUGGAAGUGAAAACCAUGGGCUCAACCCAUGAAUUGCUUUCAAAACUGUUUUUCUUGAGUAGUGCAGAGGUAGAUGGAAUUCCCGGUGUAGCGGUGGAAUGCGUAGAUAUCGGGAGGAACACCAGUGGCGAAGGCGGUCUACUGGGCACCAACUGACGCUGAGGCUCGAAAGCAUGGGUAGCAAACAGGAUUAGAUACCCUGGUAGUCCAUGCCGUAAACGAUGAUUACUAGGUGUUGGGGGAUUGACCCCCUCAGUGCCGCAGUUAACACAAUAAGUAAUCCACCUGGGGAGUACGACCGCAAGGUUGAAACUCAAAGGAAUUGACGGGGGCCCGCACAAGCAGUGGAGUAUGUGGUUUAAUUCGAAGCAACGCGAAGAACCUUACCAGGUCUUGACAUCCGAUGCAUAGCACAGAGAUGUGUGAAAUCCUUCGGGACAUCGAGACAGGUGGUGCAUGGUUGUCGUCAGCUCGUGUCGUGAGAUGUUGGGUUAAGUCCCGCAACGAGCGCAACCCUUAUUGCCAGUUACUACGUUAAGAGGACUCUGGCGAGACUGCCGUUGACAAAACGGAGGAAGGUGGGGAUGACGUCAAAUCAUCAUGCCCUUUAUGUCUUGGGCUACACACGUACUACAAUGGCUGUAACAGAGAGAAGCAACACCGCGAGGUAGAGCGAAACUCCAAAAGCAGUCUCAGUUCGGAUUGAAGGCUGAAAUUCGCCUUCAUGAAGCCGGAAUUGCUAGUAAUGGCAGGUCAGCAUACUGCCGUGAAUACGUUCCCGGGUCUUGUACACACCGCCCGUCACACCAUGGGAGUCAGUAACGCCCGAAGUCAGUGACCUAACUGCAAAGAAGGAGCUGCCGAAGGCGGGACCGAUGACUGGGGUG
rnacentral:rRNA from 1 species